rnacentral:rRNA from 1 species
UACAUGACUCCCGGCAAUGGAUAUCUUGGCUCUCGCAUCGAUGAAGGACGUAGCCGAAAUGCGAUGCUUGGUGUGAAUUGCAGAAUCCCGUGAACCAUCGAGUCUUUGAACGCAAGUUGCGCCUGAGGCUAUCUGGCUAAGGGCACGCCUGCCUGGGCAUCACGCCUCGCGACGCUUCGCGCC